GAGCUUUCUAUGAGGGUCAUGGAGGCAUUUCCUUGGCACUAUGCUGACUGAAUCCUCUGCUGGGUGACUACAGCUCCCAGUACAUAGGUGGUGGUGUAGCUGCAGUAAUGAAAGCUCUAAAAUUUCUUCCCAGUUUAGACAAAGGAAGUAAAAAUAUAAGUUGUUUAUUUAAUCUUCCCAAUGCCACUCGAAAGUCUGGAGCUAGGUGCUUGAAUCCUUUAUUGAUUCUGAAGCAGAAGUGAACUUGCCACACUGAUGUGCAGACAGCUGCAGGUGCGACUGCUGGUCUCUGUCAGCAUCAGCUAUGGCUUUGUAUGGAUCCAGCGUGUUACUGUAAGUGGCAUCUGCUCUGCCUGUAGACUGGCUCACAGGACACCUUCAGACCUGAGACUGCUUCUUUUUUCCACUUCUAGCAGGAAGGUGGUUAUGAGAGCCAGCACUUCCUUUCUCAUCUUCCUCCAGAGAAGGCUUCCUCCUGGGUCUGGGCAUGGGCCCCUGCCGCUGUAUUGCUGAUCACACUCUUAAGCAGCUCAGGGCACUCCAUUCAACAGCUCUGUCUCCUAAGAGAAACUGAGAAGGUGUUCCAGUGCAGCUUGAAUCAACCCAUGGCAAAUUGUUGGGCUGUGUUUCCACCCCUGGGGCAAACGAUUCCAGAAAGAAGUCAUCAGUAGCAACUAUCAGUACUCGUGAAACAGAUCCAUUUCUUUAUAUGUGACUGUUUACCCCAGGAAGGGCAAGGAAAAUUAUCAGCAGGUCUUUCAGUAAUAUCCAACAACUUGUAAUAUUCUGUUGUAAGACUGUGUCUCAUGUUUCUCAGUGAAGAAAGAAGCCCUUCUUCAUACAUGCAAUGUCUUCUCAUUCCUUCAAGAUCUUCCCAUUUUAAUCUGUUGGGUUUUGUCUGUUUGUUUUUUUAACCUGAAUAGUGGACUAUGUCAUUAAAAAAAAAAAAUCUUUAAAUGUACACCUUAUCCAAACUCAAAAGGUAAUAUGGAAAAUUUUAAUUCUCAGGUUAAAGUAACUCCUCACAUUUUACAAGAAAUAAACCAAAUGCAAUUCAUAAAGUACAAUAACGCACAAGUUCUAAGAGCAAGCUUGCCUGGAAAUGGGAAAGGUAAAUACAAGGUAAGCUUACCAUAUGUACUAAUGACCUGCAUACGGACUUUGGCAUAUAUGAUCACACCAACUAAUCUGAGCAUCACAGACCAGGUGAUCACACAAGACAUUUUUCAAAAAAGUUUUUGGCAAGAAGGGCUGUAUUUAUUAGAACCUCUCACAUUCUUUGUGAAAGACUCACUGCUACAGUACCUGGUUCAAGUAUAAGAGAAAAACUCUAAUAUCAAAUCCUUAUUUGUGUUAUCUCCUGUUAGUUAUUAACCUGUAUUUUUUUUCUGCUUAUAAAAAGGCUCCCUUUUAAAUCUCAGGAAAAAGUAGUGCUAUAACAUGCUUGUCUCCAAUUAUUUUGUUCGUUUUCUGACAGCAUGGCAUGAUAUAGAAAGCCUUAUCUGUUGAAGUAGAAGAUAACAGGGAAAAAAAAAGCUAGCUCGACUCUUCAGCAAAGUAUUCCCAAUAUUUUAUGUGGGAUCAAUGUUUUAUGCUAGUAAAAAAUAAUUAAUGGACAACAGAUAUUUUACCCUUGACACUCACAGAACACAAAAUUUGCAGACAAAUUACGUACACAAGAGGAAGGUGGCUCAGAGAUCAAAGCAAGCGAAUUCAUGCCUCCAUUCUGUUUAAUUAAACAUGGCUAAGCUAUAUUAAUAAACUUAUCUGAUGAGCAUAAGUGUUGAAAUAUGUAUGAUGUAUAUAUA
ensembl:lncRNA